rnacentral:rRNA from 1 species
AGUGAACGCUGGCGGUAGGCCUAACACAUGCAAGUCGAACGGCAGCACAGUAAGAGCUUGCUCUUACGGGUGGCGAGUGGCGGACGGGUGAGGAAUACAUCGGAAUCUACUUUUUCGUGGGGGAUAGCGUAGGGAAACUUACGCUAAUACCGCAUACGACCUACGGGUGAAAGCAGGGGAUCUUCGGACCUUGCGCGAUUGAAUGAGCCGAUGUCGGAUUAGCUAGUUGGCGGGGUAAAGGCCCACCAAGGCGACGAUCCGUAGCUGGUCUGAGAGGAUGAGCAGCCACACUGGAACUGAGACACGGUCCAGACUCCUACGGGAGGCAGCAGUGGGGAAUAUUGGACAAUGGGCGCAAGCCUGAUCCAGCCAUACCGCGUGGGUGAAGAAGGCCUUCGGGUUGUAAAGCCCUUUUGUUGGGAAAGAAAAGCAGCAGGUUAAUACCCCGCUGUUCUGACGGUACCCAAAGAAUAAGCACCGGCUAACUUCGUG